AGGAGACGCUCAGCACUUUAGACCGCAGGAAACCCAAAGGACCGGGUUCCCUCUCGAAAGUCCAUCUGCUACGACGUGGUCACCCAUCUCGUGAUUACGUGUCCUGGGUGCCACGCAUCUCAGGAAAAAAAGAGCACCUGAAAUUUUCCACUACAUCAGCUCGCUGGCCAGGUGUAUCCCCUUCAACCGCUUGGAGCAAGGGAUGGAGAGGCUUAGGAUAGUCUCUUCAGGGGCCGUCGUGAAGAGGAGGCCCCUGCCAAUGGCACCUUUCAGGUAAGUUCAGUGUCCUCAGCUGCCUGAGGUGGGGGCCGCUGGGCGCUCCCCGUCUCUGUCAGAUAGAGCUGCCUCAGGUGGAAGAAGGAGGCGGUGAGAGGGCUGUUGGUACUAGCUCUGGCAAGGGUCCACCUUCUAGGGUCUGCUUGGCUUCGUUCUAGAGACUGGCUUUAGACAAGUCGGCUUCUCAGCUGAAGAGGCAGCUAGGUGGUGCUGGGAUGGAUAGGGUGCUGGCCUGGCAUCGGGAAGACCCGAAUUCAAAUCCAGCCUCCGGGUGGCCUUGGGCAAGUCAUUUGAUUGUUGUUUGCCUCAGUUUCUUCAUAUGUAAGAUGGGGCUUGUAAAAGCACCUGCCUCCUAGAGUUAUUGUGAGGAUCAAAUGAGGUGAGCUUUGGGAAAUGCUAUAUAAAUGUGAGCUAUUAUUAUGGGCUGCUAUAAGGCAACAAGGUUUUGUUCAGCCCCAGCAACUUACAAAGGGCAUCUGAGGCUCCAAGGGGUUGUGGUCCAUAGGAGUGAAGGAAGGACCAAGAUCAAGAAAAAACGCUGGGAGUAUUAAGGUCAAUGUGUCAGUCAGUCCCUGCCCUCAAGGAGCUCCCAGUCUAAUGGGGAGACAGCACGCAAACCGCCAUGGACAGACAAGUUAUGGAGAGACAGGAGAGGUUGGAGAGCGACUCCGGAGGGAAGGCAGCAGUGACAAGGAGGAUUGAUUUCGAAAGGCUUCUUGCACAGAGUGACAUUUUAACAGAGACCUGUAGGAAGCCAUGAGGCAGAGAUGAAGAGGGGUAGCAUCUCAGGCGUGGCGGGCACGUGGAGCGUUAGACCUGAGCCUGGGAAGAUUCCUUUGGCGGCUGAGUGAGGUUGGUACCACCUGCCCCUCCUCCCCCCAGCAGCUAUUUCCGUAGCCCCGUGUGAAUGAUGAGGACCUAAGCUAGAUGGGGGCAUUGUCAGGGGAGAGGAGGGGGUGCAUUGGAGAUGUUACAAAGGUCCACUCAACAGGUCUUGAUCAUAGAUUGGAUGUGGAGGGUGAGACAGAGUGAAGGGUCAAGGAUGAAAUGGAAAUCGGGAGCCUCAGGGCCUGAGAGCGCAGUGGGAUCCUCGGCAGUUAUAGACAAGUUAGGAAGAGGGGAGGGCUUUAACAGUGAGCGGCAGGAUGAUGAGUUCAGUUCGGGCACGGUGAGUUUCCGAGGUCUAACAUCCCUUUUUGAGAUGUCUAACAGGCAGCUGGAGGUUAGCAGAGAUGAGCAUAUUUGAGAGUCAUCUUCAUACAGAUGAUGGUUGAAUUCAUGGGAGCUGAGAUCACCAAGCAAAGUAGUGUAGAGGGAGAAGAGAAGAGGAGCCAGGACAGAGCGCCGAGGGACACACACCUCCAGUUACAGGGUGUGACCCAGAGGAGGAUCGAGCAAAGCAGACAGAGAAGGAGCGGUCAAAGAGGGAGGAGGGGAGCCAAGAGACACAGGGGUGACCUGGAAACCUAGAGAGAAGAGAGGACCAAGGGGGAGGGAGUGAACCACAGUGUCAAAGCCUGUAGAGAGGGGGGAGGUCAGGAAGACUGAGGACUGAGAAAAGGCAACGAAGAGGUCAUCAAGAGCAGUUUCAGUGGAACGCUGAGGGGGAAGCCAGAUCAUGAAAGGAGGCGGGGAGGGCAGGCGGCCUUUCCCAGGAGUUUGGCUACAAAGGGCAGAGGAGGGAUCGUUACCAGGGAUGGAAGGACCAAGUGAGGGGGUUUUGAAGAUGGGGGAGCCAUGGGCAUAUUUGUAGAUAGGACACAGACAGGAGCCAGGGAAUGAUUGAAGAUGAAUGAGAGAUGGGGAUGACAGAGGGGCACCCUGCUGGAGGAGAUGGGAAGGAAUGGGGUUACUUGUGCAGGUAGAGGGUAAAUAGGGCCACUGUGUUUUAUGAGCCAUGGUCAAGGCCAAGAUAGCGGCACAAAGCCGCUCAGAACCCAGAGGUGGUUUGGGGGAGGCUGUGACCUACCCCAGAAAUGAAAAGCCCUUAUCCUGGCAUUCAAGGCCCUCCACAAUUUGGUACCGUCCUAAUUUUCCAGCCUUAUCUCACCUUGCUGGCCUCCAUCUGUGCUACUCUGCAGGCAGAUUGUCUGAUUUGCUAGGCUCCAUCCACGUCCAACAUUGUCCUGGCUCCUGGUCUCUGCUCUUGUUGGCUUCUGCCUCUGCAUUUUGAAAUCCUACCCAUCCUUUAAGACCUAGCUCAAAUGUCAUCUCCUUUAGGAAGCAUUCCCUAACACCCCAAGCAGCAACCAGCCAGCUCCUCCCUGACCUCAUAUAUCACUUGCUCUGCAGCUGUCUUAUGCAGUCAUAAUGUAUUAGCUUACAAUAGAGUUAUUUGUGUAUAUAUUCUAUCCCUCCUGGAGACUGUGAAUUCCAGGAGUGCAGACGCCCUGUCUUGUUGAAGGGCUUCUGUCAUGCUCUGCUUAUACUAAAUGUAUUCUGAAGCAGAUGAUGGGAGACUUGGAAGUGACUUCAGACACCUUCUGGUCUAAGCCUGUGUCUAACAACGAUGCCCUCGACAUUCCCAAAAGACCUUUGGUGAGAUUUAGCUCACUACCUCUUCUUUCUUGUUGCGUUGUCAUCAGGGCCAAGCAGAACAAGCCCAAUCCCUUAAUAACAGUCCAGUCCUUCAGAUACUUAAAGGCAGCUCUCUGGCCCAGCCCCUUUAGCCUUCUCUGCUCCAAGAGACCGUGUAUGCAGUUUGUCAAUGUCCUUGCUGACGUGGCAUCCCGAACAGAAUACAGAUGGGAUCAAUUCAGAGCUCCUGGAGUGGGGUGGUGUGGAGUGGGCCUACUAUGCGUCAGACCCAUGUUAAGUGCUGAAAAGAAAGGCAGAAGGCGGUCCCUGCUUCCAGUCUAAUGGGAGAGACAACAGACGAACAAAUAAGUACAAAUCAGCCCUAGACAGGCUAAAUUGGCAAUAUUCAACAGAGAAGAGGCCCUGGAAUGGAGAGGGGUUGGGGAAGGCUUCCUAGAAAGUGGGAUUUGAGUUGGGACUUAAAGGAAGCCAAGGAGGUCAGUGGUAGGAGUGGGGAGUGUAUUCUAGGCCUGGGGGACAGCUAGAGAAAAUGCCCAGAGCCAGAGCCACAGGGCCUUGUUUGUGGAACAGCCAGGAGGCCUGGUCAGUAGAUGGAAGAGGAAUGCCUCCGGGAAUGAGGUGUCAGAAGACUGGAAAAGGAGGAAGGGACUGAGUUAUGAAGGGCUCUGAAUGCCAAACAGAGCAUUUUCUAUUUGCUCGUGGAGGCUGUAGAGAGCCACUGGAGUUUGUGGGGGGCGGGGUGAGAUGCAUGAUCAGACCUGCACUUUCAGAAGAUCCCUUUCAUAGCUUAAUGAAAGCUAGACUGCAGUUGAGAUUUGAGGCGGGCAG